rnacentral:rRNA from 1 species
GAUGAACGCUGGCGGCGUGCCUAAUACAUGCAAGUCGAGCGAACGGACGAGAAGCUUGCUUUUCUGAUGUUAGCGGCGGACGGGUGAGUAACACGUGGAUAACCUCCCUAUAAGACUGGGAUAACUUCGGGAAACCGGAGCUAAUACCGGAUAAUAUUUUGAACCGCAUGGUUCAAAAGUGAAAGACGGUCUUGCUGUCACUUAUAGAUGGAUCCGCGCUGCAUUAGCUAGUUGGUAAGGUAACGGCUUACCAAGGCAACGAUGCAUAGCCGACCUGAGAGGUUGAUCGGCCACACUGGAACUGAGACACGGUCCAGACUCCUACGGGAGGCAGCAGUAGGGAAUCUUCCGCAAUGGGCGAAAGCCUGACGGAGCAACGCCGCGUGAGUGAUGAAGGUCUUCGGAUCGUAAAACUCUGUUAUGAGGGAAGAACAUAUGUGUAAGUAACUGUGCACAUCUUGACGGUACCUAAUCAGAAAGCCACGGCUAACUACGUG